UGCAUCCGGAGACACGGGCUGACCCGGGAGCAGAGGAACCUCAGAGCCAUGUCCUUUGGGGAAGGUCCCAGAGGGCUGGGAAGGAGGCAGGAAGUGGCACGUCCACGGCGGCUCACCUCUCCAGGAAGCACCACAGGCUCCCACAGCCUUGGCGCCGGCCUGCACGUCGAGCUGCUGCGGACAGGCGAUGGCGCCUCUUCCUCCUGUCACCUCUGCCUCCUUCCUCCAGGCCGCCGCGCGCAGGCGUGUUGCACACGUGUGCGGACGUGCACUCAGCUCACGCGUGUGCGCACAGAUGGCCGGCACACCCACUCCCUAGUGACACCUUGGCUCCCCACAGGUGGUGGGAGACGGCCCGUUCCAAGGACAGGUGCUCCGGACAGAACCCAAGACCCCGUGUGCUGCAGGCAUGGGGUCCUGGUAGCCCCCGUGGGGCGCCGGCAUCACGCGUGUGAGCACCGAGAAGGGAGCCCAUCUGGUUGCUGUCCCCGUCCUGGGGGAGGCUUGGCCCCUGGCUCCUGGGCACGGCGGGCUCCCCACUGCGGAGCUCGGGGCUGCCUGGGACCCCGGCGUCUCUGCCUCAGCUCCCGGCAGGGGAAGUGGUCUGGUGAGCGGGCUGUGGUGGCCCGAGCCCACAAGGUUGGGACCCGGCCACCCCGAGCCGCGGCGGCCACGGGGGCCCCCUCCCAAGGGGCAGGCCCAGGCCCCUGCCCGAAUGGGCUUGCUGGUCAGCUUGGAGCACGCGGCGGGGGGCCCAUGCCCUCCUCCCUGAGGGGGAGAUCGCGGGGUCCCCAGGGACGGACCGGAGGACACCGGGAAGCCUCGAGGAGCCUGCUAAAAACUGGCUUUGUCUGGCCUUGUGAGGACGGGGGUGUGGGGCGGGGACGGGCGUGUCCUGGGCCGUGGGGUCUCGGGCCACAGUUUUUCCAGGUGGCAGCCACGGCAGAAGGGCCUUUGCCUCAUGGGAGCCACAGACGCGGGACGGCCAGGCCGGUGGAGGGGCGCCCGCUCUCUGUUUGCGGGCGGUCGCCAUGGCGGCGCGGGCGGCGCCGGCCCGGGCCCUGCGGGCUCUGUUUGGGGCCGGUCGCCAUGGCGACCCUUGUUUGUUUCGACGUUACCAUGUGUCGGAUUUCAAACGAGUUUCUCACAGCUCCGUCCCCUGACGGAACACUCUUGUCACUAUUGUUACCGAGACAAAGGCGCCGCCCAGCCACAGCCCCAGCCGGUCCGCCUGAGAUCCUAAUUAGCCCCGCCUCAGCGUGCACAGCAGCGGAACGUCCCCGACUAUGGGUCCCCACCACGCUGUGCCCUUCCAUCCUGCCUGUGUGCUCGCGGCCCGCACAGGUGGAGAGGCCUGGCCCGAGGGGACCAGGCGUGGUGGGCGUCCCUGCCACACACACGCCUGUCUGCUGGGUGCUCUGGGUUCCUGGAGGGACACGGGGCCGGCGCCUGAACCGGUUAGGGAGGAGCUGGGGGGGCUCCCUGGGGCCUGUCUGCCACCAGCCUGCUCCCUUCUUGCCGCACACCCCGUGCCUCUCCAGGACACGGCGGGAACCGUCUCGGGCAGGGAGCUGGGACAGCGGACCCGAGCCUUCGGCCUGGAGCGCAGACGCCGUCCCCCGCCGUCCAGCAGCCGCAGGAGAGGUCCCCCAGGACAGCGCGGUGGUGGGGUGGGGGUGCCCACAGGAGGGGCGGGCGAGAGCCGGCAGAGCUGUUGUGCCGUGAUGUCUGAGACGGUGGCCGGGACAGAGCUGACCCUCCCCCAGGCCGCGUCUGCCCGGGGCCUUUCCUGCCCUGCCUCCCGACAGGCUAGGGGGCAUUCAGGGUCAGCGCGGCCAUGUGGCCUCGUCCUCCUCUGUGGAGCCCUCUCAUGCUCCCAGAGGCAGUACGAGCCCCUGCACUGGGUGGCCUGGCGUAUCUGUGGUCGAGGGUCCAGGCCACAGAGAACAGGGAUCCUGGCCGCACAGCUCCCUCUCCCUGACGAGGGCUGGGUCCCAGUGCAUGAUGGCCUCCUAAGACGAGGACCUUCCCCAAACACCCAGAAAUGGCUUCAGAGACCUCGGUGCAGCUGUCCCCUCCAGCCCCCCGCCGGUCCCCGCCCCGCCCCCGCCACAGCCAGGGUGGCAGUUAGGCGGGGAUGGGGUGGCGGGAGCUGCCCUCCCCGGGCAAGCCCAGCCCCAGACACCUGCACGAAGUUAGGGGGACGCUAGGGUGGUUUUGCCCUACCUGGGGAGAGGGAACGCAGACUUGGGGCCACAGCUGCCCCUUUAGGCAGGUUCAGGGCCUGCACGUGCCCCUGCAGACCUCCAGCAUCAUGGUCGUCAGCGGCAGGGGGGAGCCCUGGGCCAGAGCGAGGGAACCACUGUGUGUCAGGAGGGUCUGGCCGCCAUCGGCGGUCCCCCUGGAGCACCCGGCCUGGGAGCUGCUGCAGGCCACAGGCACAGCGGAGCUCCCGGCUCCCCCCACCCCUGCUGGGAGCAUCUCAGAGGCCCCUUCUUCCCACGGACUUCAUCAGGGCCUGCAGUGGAUUCCCACUGGCAUCCAGGCGGCUGUCCGGACAGGUCAGCCGGGGCCCUGGCUUUGCUGCUCAGGGAAGGCAAGGAGAGCCGGCAGCUUUCUCCCAACCCUGAGUGGCCAGCUGUCCGUGAUGGCCAGCACGCUGGCUGCCGCCGGUCAGAGAGGUGCCCCCGGGAGUGCCCUCCACCUGUUUGCAGAGGUGCUGGUGAGGAGGUGGUGGCUCAAAGCUUGGGAGCCUUCCCAGUGCUGGCCUGGGUGGCCUGCACAUGCAUCUAUCUUUGAGGACUGUACUGGUCCCCUGCCUCGCUCCCAGGUGCCCUUGGUGUUCCUGGGUAACCUCUGGUACUGGCAGGGUCCAGCUCUCUGCCCACCCGGAGUUAGGUCUGGAGGCCUGGGGGACACAGGGCUGGGGAAGCCAAGUGCAACCCCAGCUCACAGGGCCUUGUUAUGACCAGUGGCCCCGUUACUCCUGGGCUGGCUUUCCAGCAGGGUGCUGGCCGGCCGGGCUGGAGACGCGAGGAGAGGGGUUCAUUGUGGGGACACCCUCUAGUUCUGUGAGCUCCGGAGAACAGGCUUACUCUGUGUCCAGAGAGCAGUGUGAUGUGAUCAGUGUCUCUGGGGAAGAGACAGGCAUUGUCAUUCUAGAACUUGCUGGGGACAGCUCUCUGCAGCGGGGCACUGGGGCCCCUGGGGAGAACUCCCUGCGGGGCAGCCACGGCGGGGACACUUGGGGACACCCAGCCGAGCCAGGUGGAGCGGGCCUGCAAGUCCACCAGCUCUGAAUGUGGCCUCUGACGGGAGCCCCCGCGAGCCGUGCCCCCGCCCCCGGCCCCAGUGACUCACACUGGCGGCGCCUGGUGCCGCGGGGCCCGGAGAGGGCUGCGUGCUCCGGCGGCCAGGCCCCCAAAUGCGACCCGGGCAGGGCGUGAAUAGGAGACGGGGGUGCCUUGGAUGGCCCAGGACAAACAAACGGCCUCGGCCAGGGCACGCGGGGUUCUCUGUGCUGGGCAGCGGCUCUGGGGACCGUGCGGCCCAGGCCGGUUUGCUCAGAGGCUGACUGCUCCAGGAGCAGAACCCACCACCCGCUGCUGGACUUGAGGAAGCCCCGCGUCCACCAGGUCCCCAGACCCUGCUGUGAGGUCACAGCCGGGGCCGUGCCCUUCCUGACUGUGGGUCACCAGUCAGCACAUCCUGUGUCGUGGGCCCGCGAGUCCCCGUGUGUGCCAUCGGCCCCUGGCUAUGUAGUUCGCCUGGGUCUCCAGGUGGCUUCUCCCUCAUAGGGCCCAGGUGUGGGGCCUGGGGCCAGGACUGCAGAACCCCAACCACGGUGUCCGAGCGCCUGGAGGCCCGCAGCCUCUCGCUGUCGCUGCUUUGGUCCUGGUGGCUGGCCGGCAGGUGUGUGGGGGGCUUCGAGGCGGCUCUCCCCGGCGGCCGGCUCAGUGGGGCUCGCCGCUAGCACCUUCCUGCACAAAGUGGCUCAGAAUUUGCUCGGAUUUCGGACUGGGUUUUCCUGCUGCUGAGCCUGAAGGUGUCUUUUUCUGGUGUGUGUGUGCAUGUUUCCCCUGGUCUGUGGCUGGCUUUGGAACGAAAGACACGGUUUUCAAAAUUUUGACAAAUUCCAGUUCCUUUUUUCUUUUAUGGACUGUUUUGGUGGGAUUUCUCAGAAAUCUCUGCCUCCUCCAAGGUCAGAGUUGUUCUCUGAGGUACUCAGGGAAGCGUAGUUUAGGAUCUAGGAUGAACCCAGGCGCCGUCCGGAGCUGGGCGGCUGGCGCUCGUCCCCCACCGGACGGUCUUUGCUUCUCUGGGAACCCCCGUGUGGCUGUGUCCCUGGGGCUGCGGCUCUCAGUCCCUCGGCCGGCUCUUGGCUGUUCUGGGCCCUCUGCUCGUGGACUUCUGCGGAGCCGCCUGCUGGGUGCUCUGGGGCCGUUGCACCCAGCACCCUGCUGACAGGGUGGACAGGGUGUCCGUGGGGAGCCGUCUGCACGGGACCUCUCUGAAUGGGUCAGCACGGGAAAGCCAGUUGGAGUGGCAAAAAUGGUUUUUAGCUAAAACUAUACAAAACGCGGAGGCAGUUCAGAAGCCUUGUGUGAUCUUGUGAACGGCCCACCGUGGGGGACCGACACGGCUGCACCUGCCCCCCAGCUCCCCUCUGUGACCCUCAGGUGGGUGGCCCUGGCCUGGCCCUGAGCGGCUUCCAGGCAGGGGCGGUGGGGGUCCUGCGAGUCAGGGCCAGGCCCUGGGCCCACGUUGCUGGGUGUCCUGGGGUGGCGCCCCCCCACCGUGUCCCUGUGUGGUCACGGAAUGUCGGGCUAGGGCGGCCCCAGGCAGGACUCGGCCCCUGUUACCGUUCAGGUGCAAAGUGUGUCGUGCCCCGACUGUCCCUCCUGCGUCGAGUGGACGCCACACACGCCCCGUUUGAGAACCCGACGACAGCUCUGUUUUGAUGUCCAGUUGUUCAUAAAGGAUGUGGCUCCUUUAAGCUUUUUUCCAAGACAAUUUAUAUUUGGUGCUGUUGCCCAUGGCGACCGACUGUUGGGCAUAAACAGUGCACAACAGGGAGGGGGAGGGGCAGAUUCUGUAUUUUUACGUUGCACACGAUUUCCGCUGUGGGAGAGAGGCGGGGGUUCCCCGAGAGGGAAGUCCUGCCGGACCAUCACGUUCGAGCAGUUCAAGGAGGCGCUGGAAGAGCUCUCCAAGAAGAGGUUCAAAGACAAGAGCAGCGAAGAGGCUGUCCGCGAGGUGCACAGGCUCAUCGAGGGCAAGUCCCCUG